UACGUAGGGGGCAAGCGUUGUCCGGAUUUAUUGGGCGUAAAGAGCGUGUAGGCGGCCAUACAGGUCAGCUGUGAAAACUCGAGGCUCAACCUCGAGACGUCGGUUGAAACCGUAUGGCUAGAGUCCGGAAGAGGAGAGUGGAAUUCCCGGUGUAGCGGUGAAAUGCGCAGAUAUCGGGAAGAACACCCGUGGCGAAGGCGGCUCUCUGGGACGGUACCGACGCUGAGACGCGAAAGCGGUGGGGAGCGAACAGG
rnacentral:rRNA from 1 species